rnacentral:rRNA from 1 species
UACGUAGGUGGCAAGCGUUGUCCGGAUUUACUGGGCGUAAAGAGCGCGCAGGCGGUCGAUUUAGUCGCGUGUGAAAGCCCCCGGCUCAACUGGGGAGGGUCACGCGAUACUGAUCGACUCGAAGGCAGGAGAGGGUAGUGGAAUUCCCGGUGUAGUGGUGAAAUGCGUAGAUAUCGGGAGGAGCACCAGUGGCGAAGGCGACUACCUGGCCUGUUCUUGACGCUGAGGCGCGAAAGCUAGGGGAGCAAACGGG